UACAGAGGGGGCAAGCGUUGUUCGGAAUUACUGGGCGUAAAGGGCGUGUAGGCGGGCAGGUAAGUCGGGCGUGAAAUCCCUGAGCUCAACUCAGGAACUGCACUCGAAACUACUUGUCUUGAGUACCGGAGAGGAAAGCGGAAUACCUGGUGUAGAGGUGAAAUUCGUAGAUAUCAGGUGGAACACCAGUGGCGAAGGCGGCUUUCUGGACGGUAACUGACGCUGAGACGCGAAAGCGUGGGGAGCAAACAGG
rnacentral:rRNA from 1 species